CCUACGGGAGGCAGCAGUGAGGAAUAUUGGUCAAUGGACGAGAGUCUGAACCAGCCAAGUAGCGUGAAGGAUGACUGCCCUAUGGGUUGUAAACUUCUUUUAUAUGGGAAUAAAAUGUUCCACGUGUGGGAUUUUGUAUGUACUAUAUGAAUAAGGAUCGGCUAACUCCGUGCCAGCAGCCGCGGUAAUACGGAGGAUCCGAGCGUUAUCCGGAUUUAUUGGGUUUAAAGGGAGCGUAGGUGGAUUGUUAAGUCAGUUGUGAAAGUUUGCGGCUCAACCGUAAAAUUGCAGUUGAAACUGGCAGUCUUGAGUACAGUAGAGGUGGGCGGAAUUCGUGGUGUAGCGGUGAAAUGCUUAGAGAUCACGAAGAACUCCGAUUGCGAAGGCAGUUCACUGGACUGCAACUGACACUGAGGCUCGAAAGUGUGGGUAUCAAACAGGAUUAGAUACCCUUGUAGUC
rnacentral:rRNA from 1 species